rnacentral:rRNA from 1 species
AUUGAACGCUGGCGGCAUGCCUUACACAUGCAAGUCGAACGGCAGCGCGGACUUCGGUCUGGCGGCGAGUGGCGAACGGGUGAGUAAUACAUCGGAGCGUACCCUGUUGUGGGGGAUAACUAGUCGAAAGAUUAGCUAAUACCGCAUACGACCUGAGGGUGAAAGUGGGGGACCGCAAGGCCUCACGCAGCAGGAGCGGCCGAUGUCUGAUUAGCUAGUUGGUGGGGUAAAGGCCCACCAAGGCGACGAUCAGUAGCUAGUCUGAGAGGACGAUCAGCCACACUGGGACUGAGACACGGCCCAGACUCCUACGGGAGGCAGCAGUGGGGAAUUUUGGACAAUGGGGGCAACCCUGAUCCAGCAAUGCCGCGUGUGUGAAGAAGGCCUUCGGGUUGUAAAGCACUUUUGUCCGGAAAGAAAUCGCGCUGGUUAAUACCUGGCGUGGAUGACGGUACCGGAAGAAUAAGCACCGGCUAACUACGUG